rnacentral:misc_RNA from 1 species
GAAAUGCGAUAAGUAGUGUGAAUUGCAGAAUUCAGUGAAUCAUCGAAUCUUUGAACGCACAUUGCGCCCUUUGGUAUUCCAAAGGGCAUGCCUGUUCAAGCGUCAUUUGUACCCUCAAGCUUUGCUUGGUGUUGGGCGUCUUGUCUCCAGUUCGCUGGAGACUCGCCUUAAAGUAAUUGGCAGCCGGCCUACUGGUUUCGGAGCGCAGCACAAGUCGCGCUCUCUUCCAGCCAAGGUCAGCAUCCACAAAGCCUUUUUUCAACUUUUGACCUCGGAUCAGGUAGGGAUACCCGCUGAACUUAAGC